GGGAGCCGGAUGAGCUGAGAGGUUCACGUCCGGUUCUGAGAGGGACUACUGGGGAGGUUCCAGUGGUCUACUUACCUCAAA
rnacentral:ncRNA from 1 species